rnacentral:lncRNA from 1 species
GAAAGGGAGAGAGGAAAUCUUCGAUUUUUCAUGGCUGUGAACCACUGCAAGUAUUGAAGAAAUAUUUACUACUUCCAGCCUCAUAAUCCUGCAGUCAUUUGGCACCUGUGAGUCAGGUGUGGGGGGAACUACCCCAUACAUUCUGGAGCAUUCAAUCUGGUGGGGAAAGGUGUACUGAAGCCUUGGGGAGCACUGAAGCCAAGGCUGCACCGUACCAAAAAUUUGAAACAUGUGAAUGAGCUGAAUGUGGAAGGACUACCGGAAAACACUCCUUUCAGAAUCCCCUCAUUGCAUGAAAUCCCAAGGCUCGAAAACAUCUUUCAAGUGAGCAAUUGAAUUAAGUUUGUUAUUAAGAGGUAAGAUGAUA